CUGUUAUCGCUGUGGCCAGUAUAAUUGAGCCCUCUGUCUGGGAGGAGCCAUGCGACGGCUGUGCUGGCCGCCAUCUGUCCCUCAUUCCGAGCAGCCAUGCAUCUUCCUGCACCCUACUCUCCCCCAGCAGCCUGACCUGCUUCUACCGUGGAGUGUGAUCGACACAGGGCGUGUGGCUCCCCAGGGACCUAGCAGUCACAGGAGAGAGUGUGACUUGGUGAUUCACCAUGGGAAACAUGCAUUUGGCCUUCCCAUUGCUGACCCAGGGCUGAUACAGCCCCGGGGGUUUCCUCAGUGAGGAGAGAGGUAAAGGCAAACAGCACCCCGCCCCGUUCAUCGAGCCCCUGCACCAGCUGAGUCCCUGGCCCUGUGGGGCUGGCUGCAGGGGAGCAGCCCAGGAUAGCAGGCCGAAACUUUCACACCCCUCCCCAACCCACACCUCCACGGAGCGAGAAGGGCUGGAGACCGACUUCACCCGUGACCAGGACAGUGGUGCCAGCGUCAUGGAGCCUCCAUGAAACCCAAGAGGACAGAUUCACUGACUGUUGACCACACACCGUGCUGAGGGAGCCCAGAGAGGGCCUGGACAUGCCGUGCCACCUCCCAAACCUUGCCCUGUCCAUCUCCUCAUCUGGCUCUUCCCGAGUCGCAGUCUUUACGACAGACCAGUCAUGGAAGGACAAACCUUUCCCAGGUCUGCGAGCUGCCCUAGCAGUGAGUGAGCUUGAGGAGGAGUGGCACCUGCACCGGUCAGAAGCACAGGUGGCCAUCUGGACUGGAGAGUGGCCUCUGAAGUAGGCAGAGGCUGAGUCCCCCACCUGUGGGGCCUGAGGACCUCUCCCAGUCACAGAUUGCAGGACACCCCUGUGGUAUCUGCAUCAGCCACUGGGGUGUUUCUUUAAGGGUCUGAACCACGUUUUUGCCGAAACUUUCCCCUGGGGCCUACAGAUGUCCCCUGAGUGAGGCCUGGUACAGUGGGCACACUUGUGGUUCAAGCCACUCUGGAGGCUGAGGCAGGAGGAUGGCAAGUUUGAGGCCAGUCUGUGCAACUGGGUGAGACUCUGUCUCUCCGUGGUAGAGUCCCCAGGACUGCUGUAAAAACACAUUCCCUGGGUGACCGGAAGGGGACGGGAAGCCCUGGCCUCCCCGACUUCAGGGGGCCUGUCCCCUUUGCUGCCUUGGCCUUCCUUUCUGAUUCUGCUCAGCUCUGCACGCGGAUCUCUUGAACUUGGCCCAGACCCCUUGGUCUCCCGCGACCCCCCUCAGGCGCCAGGACAGGAAGCCACCGACCACACAAGGAGUGGACAUGGAAAGAGGUGGUGUCUGCGUCCCUGGGAGCCUCUGCCCACUCCCAGGGCCGGGUGAACGUCCUCCCUGUGCACCUGUCCCUGCCCACCUGUCACCCUCCACCCAGGAGGGGGAAGCCGGCUUGUGAGACAGCCCUGCUCCGCUCUGUCACUGAAGGAAGCCUCUCUCCUCAGCUUGUCUCCUCGGGGUGAGCCUCCAGCCUGGGGGUCCUC
rnacentral:lncRNA from 1 species